AAGCAUACACAUUUUUAUAACCAAAUUAGGAAUAUUGAUUUUAAAAAUCUUCAAAUUUCCUUACAAUAUAUAGUAGGUGUCCCCAACCCCUGGGCCACAGACUGGUACCACGCUGCAGACUGGUAGCUUUCUGUGGCCUGUUAGGAAGUGGGCUGCACAGCAGGAGGUGAGUUGCAGUUUAACUAGCAUUACCGCCUGAGCUCCGCCUCCGGUCAGAUCAGCUGGGCAUUAGAUUCUCACAGGAGCAAGAAUCCUAUUGGGAACUGUGCGUGAGAGGCAUCUAGGUUGCACUCUCCUUAUCAGAAUCUAACUAAUGCCUGAUGAUCUGAGGUGAAAUAGUUUCAUCCCGAAACUACCCCCGACUCUGUCUGUGGAAAAACUAUCCCCACAAAACCUGGUGCCAAAAAGAUUGGGGACCACUGAUAUGUAGGGUUCCAAUUAUUUUGGAAGACAUGAAUUAAGAGACUGGUUGAAGUUCACUAGGCGUUCUUUGCUUCUAAGGCCUCUGUCCUCUAGGCUGUGUUGCAUACAUAAUAAUGCAAGACUGGAGGACACCAAUAGCAUCUGCAAAUGACAAGAUACCUUCAGAUGAAGCCUAAUUCCAAAAAGAUUAAAUAGUUAUCCACAUGUAGAUUAUAUAAACUUUUAGGAGGUUAAUUCUGUGGGUUGCUGGAUUCUGGCUCCCUUAUGCCCUGCAACCUUAUGGCUUCAUGCUAUAUAUGAACUUCUUACUAGGAAUAAUGGAUGACUUGACUGUUCUCUGCUUCCUGAACAACUUCUACCAUCAUGUUAAAUUGAAGCUUCUCAGUUAUGCCAAGUUAUUCAAUAUAUGAUGUCCUAUGUUCCUCAUCUUUGCACUGGAAAUAAUGCUGUCAACUCAGUGACUGAAUUCAAUCCCUGGAGUUCUAAGAGAAAUCUCACUCCAAGAAAAUGUAGAGAAGUAAUACCCUAAAUAUCUGUAGUUCACUGAUUCAGUUUAUCAUAAAGUAUCUGAAAUAUUUUAGCAUUUGUCCUACAAAGGCCCAGAUUUUGAGGUAACAAAGUACUUUCAUUAAUCCUUUUAAUAUUUCUCUUUGCCAGAAUGCUUGAUCAAAAGUAUUGAUUAUCUGGUGUCAGCUGUUUUCCUGAAUUCAUGCAGUACUGACAAAGAAGAAUUUGGAAUUAAAUACCAGAGAAGAGUUCUAUUCCACCUAGAGGGUACAGUUUUGUGACAAUAUUUUUGACAUUCUAAUUAGGUUAUCAGCCUAUGAUUGCAAAUAAAAAAUGAAACAAUAAUAAUAUUUAAAUACAAAGGUAUUUAAAGUAAUGAAAGCAAAAGUCUAAUGUACAUCUUUAGUUCUUUUUUCAUAGCUGAGUUAAUAAAUACUUUUUGUAUCAAGUUAAUUUGAUAUAAAAAGUAAUUCUUAUAUAUUACUAAUCAAGAUAAUAUGAAUUACAACAAAGCAUUACUUAGAAAUAUAAUAUUAAAAUGCAACAGCUUUAAAUCCUAUUGACCCAAUGGAUAUUACCUACAAGUCAGGCUCUGUACAAACCCAUUCAGAAUGCUCCAGCUGACAGUGCAGUAUUUUAUGCCAAUCAAAUUAUGUUAUUGUGAUAGAACAUGAUAUGGAUUUUUAAGAAAAAAAUGAUCCAAUACAAAACUGUUAUAUACUUGGCCCUCAUCCCCAUGAUCACAAAUCCCAGAAUUUCAAGAAAAUUUGGCCAACUGAAGUAAAUUGUAAAUUGUGUUUACACUGUCACAUAGGUGGCAUCACUAUAGCUAAGACACAAAGUAUUCUCUGUGUAUUGUCAAGAUUAUCCUGAAAUACCAUAAUUUUUAAAAGUUUUCAGGACAUAUCUAUUUAUCUAAUGUUAUAUAUAUUUAAAUAAAAUAUCUAUACUAUUUUAAUAUAUACCUUAAUUUUCUCUGCUAUGUGUUUAAUUCUGUCAUGUAAAAAAGAGACACGAAAAUUGUAACCCCCAGCACCUUAGAAUGUGAACUUAUUUGAAAAUGGAAUCAUCACAGAGGUAAUCUGGUUGAAAUGAGCUCAUUAGGAUAGACGGUAAUCCAAUAUGACUGGGCUACUUAUAGAAAAGAGAAAAUUUGGACACAGAUAGACACAUAGAGGGAAGAUGAUGAAGAUACACAGAGAGAAUGCCACUGAAGAUGGAGGUAGAGAUUGCAAUUAUGUUGCCACAAACCAAGGAACAUCUGGGAUUGCCAGAAGCAGGAAGAGGCAAAGAAGUAACCUUCUCUACAGGUGUUAGAGGGAGCAUGGCCCAUCAAUCCCUUGAUUUCACACUUCUAGCCUUUAGAACUAUGAAACAAAACUUUUCCCUUGUUCUAAGACAUCUAAUGUAUAAUACUUUGCUAUUGCAGCCAUAGGAAGCUAUACCUUCUUUCCUUCACUAUUAAAAAUUUUAUUGUUCUCUUUCAACUCCUUUGACAUCAUGUCUAUUCCUUUAUAACUAAAGUCAAUGAUUAAUUAAAGAAUAAUAUCUCUUUCUAAGUGUAAGGUUGUGUUCCAACUGUCUUACAUACAUUAAUUCAUUUAAUUCUUACAACAACCCUGUGAAGUAAAUACUAUUAUUUUGCUUUUUACA
rnacentral:lncRNA from 1 species